UUUGCUGCAAUAUAGAUGUAUUUUACAGCAAUUCGGUAAUAACUGUAUGAUUUAUGGAUUUUAAUUCUCUGGUGUUAGGAAAAUCGUUCUUUCUUUGUUGGAGGUUGACACAGACUCAUACGGACUGAGAUGAAUUUGAGGGUCUAAUACGGAAUAUUUCUCGUUGAAAGGAGAAACUGCUAAGUGUUUGUACGGAGAAAGGCGCUGGUGAUGAAAAAAAUAGUAUCAACUAUAAUAUCCAUUUUUUUCCUACAUUGCAAAGAAAUUGUGAGAUAUCAAAUCAUAAAUUUGUCAUAGUUUUGUUAAUGGAGAAGCGGGCCUGGUACAUGAGAGAGAGAGGGAGAGAGAGAGAGAGAGAGAGAGUUUUUAAAUUUUUUAAAUUUAUUGUAGAACGGCAGCAGCGACAAAAAUAGAUAUCACAAGGUCAGGCAUAUGUAAAAUUGGUUUUAAUUACUCAAAAUCAAAUAUAUUUUUGAUGGAUUUUCCUCAUCCUUUCCAUAUAAAUAUGUUUUCUUUGCUUUAUAAAUUUUUGUCUUUAAAUACGAACGAACGAUGUCACAUGCCUUUUUUUAUUUGGUUCAUUUUGGUCAGGAGUUUACCAAUGACACGUGAGCCAAGCGUUUCCGCAAUACACUGAGUACAAGGAAAAUAUUACAACAUGUGAGUGAAGUUCAAAGUACAUUUAAAGUCUUAAGUAAAUAAAGUUUAACACCAAUUAUUAUUUGUUUUUUCUC